CAGCAUAUGAUAAGAUGUACUCGGGUUCCCCUUCUUACAUUACGGGUGAUGUAAAAUCAAGUUUCUGGUGCU